GUGAGGAAUUUUCCGCAAUGGGCGAUAGCCUGACGGAGCAAUGCCGCGUGAAGGAUGAAGGCCUAUGGGUUGUAAACUUCUUUUCUCAGAAAAGAAUUAUGACGGUAUCUGAGGAAUAAGCAUCGGCUAACUCUGUGCCAGCAGCCGCGGUAAGACAGAGGAUGCAAGCGUUAUCCGGAAUGAUUGGGCGUAAAGCGUCUGUAGGUUGUUUAAAAAGUAUUCUGUCAAAGAUUAGGGCUUAACCCUAGAUAGGCAGAAUAAACUUUUAAGCUAGAGUUUGGUAGAGGCAGAGGGAAUUCCCGGUGGAGCGGUGAAAUGCGUAGAUAUCGGGAGGAACACCAAAGGCGAAGGCACUCUGCUGGGCCAAUACUAACACUGAGAGACGAAAGCGAGGGGAGCAAAUGGGAUUAGAUACCCUAGUAGUCC
rnacentral:rRNA from 1 species